rnacentral:rRNA from 1 species
UGCGCAGGCGGUUUUGUAAGACAGGCGUGAAAUCCCCGGGCUCAACCUGGGAAUGGCGCUUGUGACUGCAAAGCUGGAGUGCGGCAGAGGGGGAUGGAAUUCCGCGUGUAGCAGUGAAAUGCGUAGAUAUGCGGAGGAACACCGAUGGCGAAGGCAAUCCCCUGGGCCUGCACUGACGCUCAUGCACGAAAGCGUGGGGAGCAAACA